AGAACUUGCUCUACAUUUCUUUUUAAUUAAUGAAAGCAUAAGUUGCAUUCAAUACAAUAUGUAAUCUAUAUUGUGGAACAUUUUAUUACUUUUUAGUUUGAGUGAAAUAACUGAUGUGAUUUAAGUAACUUGGAGGUGUAGGACCAACAUAAUCCCUUCUACAUUCCUGUACAUGAAUAAGGUAGAUAAAGGCAAGUUAUAGAACUUGCUCCACAUUUCUUCUUAAUUAAUGAAAGCAUAAGUUGCAUUCAAUAUAAUAUGUAAUCUAUAUUGUGGAACAUUUUAUUACUUUUUAGUUUGAGUGAAAUAACUGAUGUGAUUUAAGUAACUUGGAGGUGUAGGACUAACAUAAUCCCUUCUACAUUCCUGUACAUGAAUGAGUUUGAGUGAAAUAACUGAUGUGAUUUAAGUAACUUGGAGAUGCAGGACCAACAUAAUUCCUUCUACAUGCCUGUACAUGAAUGAGGUAGAUAAAGACAAGUUACAGAACUUGCUCUACAUUUCUUUUUAACUAAUGAAAGCAUACCUUAUAUGAAGUGUAUAUGGCUGAGACGUAUUGAAUUCAAAUGAUGCAGAGGAUGAAGAAAAAUGAAACAGAUUAAACAACCGGAAGAAUAGUUUUAGAAGAGAAUGAAGAACAUCAAGAUUAGACGAAAUCACCGUGUAGGUUUUAUGUUCGCGAAGAAUCAGGCGCUUCGUAUCGAUUAUGGCGUAACCGCGCAAACAGAAUCGGAUAUAAAGACGUUGAUAGUCGGAGACGAAAGAGAAGUUCGUUUUUCUCGGAGCAUACUGAUUUCUGUUUGCACGAUUAGAUAAACGAACGACGUAGCCUCGGCAGCUGGUGUAUGUACACUAUCGAAUAACAAAGACAAUCGAAACGGUAUGGCGCAUUACACGGUUCGCCGCUGCAAAGAUCGCUGGAGUCAUAAAGCGCGAAGCUCUUAAUUAACGAUUUCAUUCGACUCGUUGCACAUUAUUUCCUCCCUCUAAAUUGCUGGGCUAGUUUCUCGGUUCGACGCGCCAGUAUUUUAACCUCUUUAUCGCUCCGGCUGAUCUUCCAGUGGCUCGUUCCAUGCCGGAGGAGAGAGGGGAAAAAAUGGAACAAAUCCUGCGAACGGUCCUCGAUGCUUCUCGCGGUUCUCACGACCAGCCUCGAAAUAAUGAAAAGCUUUCGCGCGAUGAAUAAAGCUCUCGCGAGGAACCAGAAUCGUUUUUUGCCCCUUCUCUUUUGUCUGCGUGCUACUUUUCAUUCAUGUUUUCGCGAUUUUCCGUUCCGUCUCGCUGACGACGAAGAAACGAUGUCAAAUUCGUUGGAAACGAAGAAAUUAUUCCUGCGGAAAGGAAACUUUAACGAGUUCACCUCGAGGUUCGAGCCAUUUGCAAUUUUUCCACGGUUUGUUUGAUACACAGAGAGCCUGAAAAUUACUGAAUAUUUUCUUAAAAUUCGCUCGCGGUAAAUUUCCGAUUGUUUUACAUCGGAAUACGGUUCGGAAGCUCGAUUCAAUUUAACGAGAAUUUUCUGCGAUCACUUCUAUAGAAAUAUACAAGAAUAUAAGUAUAUAUACAUAUUGAAUUCUCAUAAAAUAACCUGUGCUUUAUUCUACGAAUAUCAUUAUAAAAAUAUUUGUAAAGGAA